rnacentral:rRNA from 1 species
UACGAAGGGGGCUAGCGUUGUUUGGAAUUACUGGGCGUAAAGCGCACGUAGGCGGAUACUUAAGUCAGGGGUGAAAUCCCGGGGCUCAACCUCGGAACUGCCUUUGAUACUGCAAAUCUCGAGUCCGAUAGAGGUGGGUGGAAUUCCUAGUGUAGAGGUGAAAUUCGUAGAUAUUAGGAAGAACACCGGUGGCGAAGGCGGCCCACUGGAUCGGUACUGACGCUGAGGUGCGAAAGCGUGGGGAGCAAACAGG